GGGGUGUAAUAUAUGAGAGAAUAAAUUAAAAAUUACCUGUUUUCACUUUGAGUUCACACUUUGAUUUUGAAAAUUGUAUAUUUUGAAAACCAAUAGUGAUGUUCCAGAAGAACAGUCGCCGGGUUCUCCUCAGCCCCUAGAGAGGGAGGACUAGUGAACAGUCGCCGGGUUCUCCUCAGCCCCUAGAGAGGGAGGACUAGUGAACAGUCGCCGGGUUCUCCUCAGCCCCUAGAGAGGGAGGACUAGUGAACAGUCGCCGGGUUCUCCUCAGCCCCUAGAGAGGGAGGACUAGUGAACAGUCGCCGGGUUCUCCUCAGCCCCUAGAGAGGGAGGACUAGUGAACAGUCGCCGGGUUCUCCUCAGCCCCUAGAGAGGGAGGACUAGUUGUUUUCUAAACCUCAAAC